rnacentral:rRNA from 1 species
GCUUGCUUCUUGGGGUUGUAGGACACUCUAUACGGAGUUACAAAAGAAAGUUAUAAAUGAAGCGGUCUGGAAAGGCCCGCCAAAGACGGUAACAGCCCGGUAGUUGAAAUGGCUUUCCCUCCAGAGUGGAUCCUGAGUACGGCGGAACACGUGAAAUUCCGUCGGAAUCCGGGAGGACCAUCUCCCAAGGCUAAAUACUCCCUAGUGACCGAUAGUGAACCAGUACCGUGAGGGAAAGGUGAAAAGCACCCCGGAAGGGGAGUGAAACAGUUCCUGAAACCGUGUGCCUACAAGUAGUUAGAGCCCGUUAAUGGGUGAUAGCGUGCCUUUUGUAGAAUGAACCGGCGAGUUACGAUUUGUUGCAAGGUUAAGCGGAAAAAGCGGAGCCGUAGCGAAAGCGAGUCUGAAUAGGGCGCAUAAGUAACAGGUCGUAGACCCGAAACCAGGUGAUCUACCCAUGUCCAGGAUGAAGGUAAGGUAAUACUUACUGGAGGUCCG